rnacentral:rRNA from 1 species
AGCAGUAGCCGCGGGAAUACAGAGGGUGCAAGCGUUAAUCGGAAUUACUGGGCGUAAAGCGCGCGUAGGUGGUUUGUUAAGUUGGAUGUGAAAUCCCCGGGCUCAACCUGGGAACUGCAUCCAAAACUGGCAAGCUAGAGUAUGGUAGAGGGUGGUGGAAUUUCCUGUGUAGCGGUGAAAUGCGUAGAUAUAGGAAGGAACACCAGUGGCGAAGGCGACCACCUGGACUGAUACUGACACUGAGGUGCGAAAGCGUGGGGAGCAAACAGGAUUAGAUACCCCGGUAGUCCCUGUCUCUUAUAC